CAAAAAAAUCGGGCGCCCCUUGCGGGGCGCCCUUAUCAUGGGAGAGGAGAAACCGGACGAAGAGCUUAUGGGGAAACGUAAGCCUUCUCCGCGG
rnacentral:ncRNA from 1 species